UACAGAGGGUGCGCGCGUUAAUAGGAAUUACUGGGCGUAAAGCGCACGUAGGUGGCGACGUAAGUCGGGUGUGAAAGUCCCGGGCUCAACCUGGGAAUUGCAUUCGAGACUGCAUUGCUGGAGUACGGAAGAGGAGGGCGGAAUUCCCGGUGUAGCGGUGAAAUGCGUAGAUAUCGGGAGGAACAUCAGUGGCGAAGGCGGCCCUCUGGUCCAGUACUGACACUCAAGUGCGAAAGCGUGGGGAGCAAACAGG
rnacentral:rRNA from 1 species